GCGUAAAGAGCGUGUAGGCGGCUUGGCAAGUCCGCUGUGAAAACUCGAGGCUCAACCUCGAGACGUCGGUGGAAACUGCCUGGCUAGAGUCCGGAAGAGGAGUGUGGAAUUCCUGGUGUAGCGGUGAAAUGCGCAGAUAUCAGGAAGAACACCUAUGGCGAAGGCAGCACUCUGGGACGGUACUGACGCUGAGACGCGAAAGCGUGGGAGCGAACAGGAUUAGAUACCCUGGUAGUCCACGCUGUAAACGAUGGAUGCUAGGUGUGGGCGGUGUCGACUCCGUCCGUGCCGAAGCUAACGCAUUAAGCAUCCCGCCUGGGGAGUACGGCCGCAAGGCUAAAACUCAAAGGAAUUGACGGGGGCCCGCACAAGCAGCGGAGCAUGCGGAUUAAUUCGAUGCAACGCGAAGAACCUUACCAAGGCUUGACAUGCACGGUAAUCCGGUAGAGAUACCGGGUCCGCAAGGGAUCGUGCACAGGUGGUGCAUGGUUGUCGUCAGCUCGUGUCGUGAGAUGUUGGGUUAAGUCCCGCAACGAGCGCAACCCUCGUUCCAUGUUGCCAGCAACACGAAAGUGGUUGGGGACUCAUGGGAGACUGCCGGGGUCAACUCGGAGGAAGGUGGGGAUGACGUCAAAUCAUCAUGCCCCUUAUGUCUUGGGCUUCACGCAUGCUACAAUGGCCAGUACAAUGGGUUGCGAGACCGUGAGGUGGAGCGAAUCCCAAAAAGCUGGUCUCAGUUCGGAUCGGGGUCUGCAACUCGACCCCGUGAAGUCGGAGUCGCUAGUAAUCGC
rnacentral:rRNA from 1 species